rnacentral:rRNA from 1 species
AAGUCAUAACAAGGUUUCCGUAGGUGAACCUGCGGAAGGAUCAUUAGUGAUUGGGCGUGAGCCCGUUACAGUUCCUCACACCUGUGAACCCGUCGGCGCCGGUCUCUGGCCCGAUACUUUACAAUACAAUGUGUAAUGAACGUGAAUGUAUCAUAACAAACAAAACUUUUCAACAACGGAUCUCUUGGUUCUGGCAUCGAUGAAGAACGCAGCGAAAUGCGAUAAGUAAUGUGAAUUGCAGAAUUCAGUGAAUCAUCGAAUCUUUGAACGCACACUUGCGCCCCCUGGUAUUCCGAGGGGCAUGCCUGUUUCGAGUGUCACAAAAAAUGCUCAGGCGAAAGCUUGAUGUUGGGCGUCUAGGGCCGCUACGAUUGUACCCCGAAAUACGGGAUUUUUCAGCGGCCCCGCCUCAAAUUGAUCGGCAGCGGCACGUGUCUCCGGGCGUAUCCAGGCUUUACUGUCUUCGCUUCGUGGGUGAUCGUGCUCCGUACUCGCCCCGCAACGACCCCGUAUAAUCACAAGAAAUUGACCUCGGAUCAGGUAGGGAUACCCGCUGAACUUAA